rnacentral:misc_RNA from 1 species
AAAAAAGUAGCAAUUCAGUUUCAAAUGGUUUGAGCUUGGAAGCAACCUGCUAUCUAUCGAUAGGCGAGAACAGGCUGCUAUUGGCUGCUUCGCCUAUCUAUUCUAUUUUUUCCGGCUUGGAGACAUCAGAGGAAGACCAUCAUCUCUAUCCGGGUACGAUCAUAGCUUCAUUCAUUCGUUGAACCUUGGGGAUAACCAUUAGCAUUGAGGUCAAUCACCACACCACCUCUAUCAUACAUACGAUAUUACAUGACGCGAGAGCGCAUGGUCAACACACACCUAAAGCGCCUUCGUUCCGC